ACAAGUGCUCGCAACACAGCAGGACUCACACUCACAGUCUUCAAAAUGCCUGUUAUUAAUGUCUUAGGACAGCUCUUUGCCUCAACCCAUCAGGAUAUGCUUGUAUACUUGCUUUCAGAGGUGAGUGAGCCCUUUUCUAACAUGCAUUAACCUGCCUUGCCUUGGUGUACUGUUUUUUUUCUUAAUGUGUUCAAUAGUUUUUUCCUGUGUCAUUCCACAUAUUAUGGAUUGCAAUAUCAUGAGUUCUUUAUCUGUGUAGAUUUGAUUGUCUGGUCAAAAAAUUCAUGUGAAUUGUUAAACUUGAAAACAUGUUGAAUAUUUUUUCCCCUGUGUGUCAUGUAUGUACAUCCAUCCUAAACCCUCUCAAUGUAUUUUGUUGAUAUUAUAACAAUGAACAUAAAAGAUACAGAGAUACAUCUUAUAUAUGUUAUAAACUUACAUUUAAAUCUACCCAGAGAAUGUAUGGAUGUGAAAAUUACACCAUUUCUUUCUAUGUAUUCUAUGUAUUUGUUCAGUGAGUAUGUGUUAACGGGUAAAAAAAACUCCACACUCCAAGACAUUAGGUGGCGCCAACCCUAACAUUGGUGCCAUUCACCAUAAAAUCUAAGGAGAGUUUGGCGGGAUUUUUUAGCAGAACGACAGUUGGAACGCUAAAGUGAAUCCGAGCGUAACUCUAAAACUGAUUUGACGAAAAGCUAUGAUCAGAAUGUGUGUGUUGUGCGUUUUAGUGAUCAUACUGAUACUUGCCCCAGGUUCCUGUAUACAAUAUGAGGUGGUGGAUGUAACUGAGGGUGGAAAUGCUAUCCUAAACUUCACAGCUUCUGGACUGACUAUUUUCUACAAAAUGCAUUGUGAAAAACAGACUAAAAUCACUUUGACUGUGAUUGGUCAAUACUGUGGCCCUGCUGAUAACUGCAGCACCAGCUCGAGAACACCUGAGGUUUCAAUAGAGACUGGCCGUCUAAUUGUACAAAAUGUCACCUACAACAGAUGCUACAGUGCAAAAACCAUACGAGGACACAGAGAGAUAUUUUAUAAUGUUACUGUCAAAAAAUUACACUUUACCAUCAGCGCAGAAAUGUCCAUCUCAAAAUUCACUACUGAAACACCCGACCAUACUUUAACCUCAGACAAUUCCUACGACACUACAUCAUCCAGUGCAGUCACAAUUAUUGCCAUUGUCGUUACUGCUGCGGUCUCGGUGGCCAUUGUUUUGUUCGUUGUCUGGUACAUACGCAAAGUAAGUAUUAUCACAGUAAUUGAACUGUCAUUAACAGCUGCGUUCAGGUAA
ensembl:lncRNA